GUCUGCAGUCAGGUCAUCCUGAACGCACCUGAUGUUGUCUGAUCUCUGAAGCUAAGCAGGGUCGGGACUGGUUAGUCCUUGGAUGGGAGAACACUGAGGCUGAAGAGG
ensembl:rRNA 5S_rRNA 5S ribosomal RNA